CAGACCAGCCAGGCUGCUCAAGACCAUCCCCAAAAACCUCUUCAUGAGUCCACAGGGAAUGAAGCGAGAGGGUGGGAGGACGAGGAAUGAAGUGCACUCCAGAUAUAAACUCUGAGUGUUGUGACGUAGGAUAACUUUGUGUACGUCAAAGCAAACGACGCAGUCAUAAAUCCCAACACCCAGAACACCAGCAAGCAAUAACUGCCACUCAACUCGAGAGACCUGACACCGCACCUCUCGAACCAACCAGACAAGGACAACGACCUGGAACGAUCCAGAAUGACCCGAAACGACCUUAACGACUAUGAUAACAGCAAAUCACUCUCCUUCUAAAGUCUUACCGCACACACACACACACGCCACACAAAACACAUGCACACAACAAACACACUCACUACCAUAUCCUCUUGUCCUUGUCCCACCUGAUUAAAACCCAGUGCAGGUUUUGUCGGAGCGGUUCUGGUUCCGAGAGGGGGGGGGGGGUGUUGAAAAGCAGAGGCGAAUGCCAGCGGCUCCCUCCGGCCCUGUCAAUAAUAAAUCUCCAGGAGACAAAGCAGAGGCUGUCACUGGGGCUAACCGAUGCUGGGAAACCAGCGGAAAGAGCGGCCAAAGAGGCGGACCAAACGCCAGUUCUUUUGGACUCCAGAACAGUUCCAGAACCCAAGGGUUGACAUUAAGUUUGGACGAGCUUUUUUGUUUCUGCUACAGAGCAACUUGUUAACAUUGAUCUUUAUUAGCUGGUGUCAUGGUGCAUACCAAAACAGAAUACCAAGAUCCAUGGGUCUAACCAUCCUUUUUUUGAUAGCCAAAGAUCAAUAUUUAGCUGGUGGAUGUAGAGAGUCAAUCAAAAUAAAGACUGAAUGCAUUUAGAUGGAACAAAGAAGUGAAAAAAGAGGGGAAAGAGAGAGAGAGAGAGAGAGAGAGAGAGAGAGAGAGAGAGAGAGGGAGACAGAGAGCAGAGGAAGAUUCUUUAGCACAACUGAGUUCCCUCUAAAGCAAACACUUCUUUACAGUAAACACACUUCUGUAAACAUUAAUAAAGGGAAAAAAUGGUG